rnacentral:rRNA from 1 species
CCUACGGGGGGCACCAGUGGGGAAUAUUGCACAAUGGGCGCAAGCCUGAUGCAGCCAUGCCGCGUGUAUGAAGAAGGCCUUCGGGUUGCAAAGUACUUUCAGCGAGGAGGAAGGCAUUAAGGUUAAUAACCUUGGUGAUUGACGUUACUCGCAGAAGAAGCACCGGCUAACUCCGUGCCAGCAGCCGCGGUAAUACGGAGGGUGCAAGCGUUAAUCGGAAUUACUGGGCGUAAAGCGCACGCAGGCGGUCUGUCAAGUCGGAUGUGAAAUCCCCGGGCUCAACCUGGGAACUGCAUUCGAAACUGGCAGGCUAGAGUCUUGUAGAGGGGGGUAGAAUUCCAGGUGUAGCGGUGAAAUGCGUAGAGAUCUGGAGGAAUACCGGUGGCGAAGGCGGCCCCCUGGACACAGACUGACGCUCAGGUGCGAAAGCGUGGGGAGCAAACAGGAUUAGAUACCCCUGUAGUC